CAAGAACCAGCAACAGUUGGAUGGGUGAGAACAUGACACACAUAUGCCACAAAGUCUGCCCUCGGGACACAUAUGCCCUCUCUGGCAGGAGGACACAAGGCAGAUGAUGAGUAGCUUCAUGCUCUCAAUCUCUGCCGUGGUGAUGUCCUAUCUGCAGAAUCCUCAGCCCAUGACGCCCCCGUGGUGAUGUCUACUAGAAGGCUUGGAUCCUGGACUCCUGUCCACCUUCUCUCUGGCCUAGCCUUUGACUGCCUCCAACCUGCCCUUGGCUGCUGUCUGUAAACUCACCUGAGUGUUGUCUCUGGUCUCCCAGCUGAAUGAGGGAGGAUGGCCCUUUCCUUGGGGUCCUGCUUCUGCUUUGACAAAGUGGUAAACCCACAGACUUCCCUUUUAUCUCCCUCCCCUGGCUACUGUUAUGAGAAACACUGUUCAUGUUUCUAAGUAUUCGCUUGUUUUCUUGUUGAAAUCAGUUGGUAAAAAAAUUUUCCACUAUG